GGGAGAGGAGGUUCUGAUCACCUUUAAGAACAGAGCCAGCCGUCCGUACUCUAUACACGCUCACGGAGUGGUCACUACCGACACACACACACCUGUCCAGCCAGGUUACAUGACAGAGUUCAGAUGGGAGGUCCCAGAGAGCUCUGGUCCAGAGUCUCUGAUCCUAACUGUAUCACCUACGCGUACUACUCUACUGUUGACUUCGUCAAGGACGUGUUCAGCGGUCUCUUGGGUCCCCUGGUGGUCUGCAGACAGGGAGUACUGCAGCGUGGAGCUGAGGAGGGACGAAAGAG